CCUACGGGAGGCAGCAGUGAGGAAUAUUGGUCAAUGGGCGCAAGCCUGAACCAGCCAAGUCGCGUGAGGGAUGACGGUCCUAUGGAUUGUAAACCUCUUUUGUCGGGGAGCAAGGCCCGCCACGUGUGGCGGGAAGGAGAGUACCCGAAGAAAAAGCAUCGGCUAACUCCGUGCCAGCAGCCGCGGUAAUACGGAGGAUGCGAGCGUUAUCCGGAUUUAUUGGGUUUAAAGGGUGCGUAGGCGGACUGUUAAGUCAGCGGUAAAAGCCCGGGGCUCAACCCCGGCGAGCCGUUGAAACUGGCUGUCUUGAGAUGUCGAGAGGUAUGCGGAAUGCGCAGUGUAGCGGUGAAAUGCAUAGAUAUCACGCAGAACUCCGAUUGUGAAGGCAGCAUACCGGCGCCCGACUGACGCUGAGGCACGAAAGCGUGGGGAUCGAACAGGAUUAGAUACCCCGGUAGUC
rnacentral:rRNA from 1 species